GCUCAAGUAGCUUACCAUAAAGCAUUGUUCUUGUAAACCAAAGCCGGACUAUGUCCCUAGAGCA
rnacentral:tRNA from 1 species